rnacentral:lncRNA from 10 species
GGAACACUCAUUCAGCAUACAGAUUCUGAGCCCCUCCCUGAAGAUCUGAUUCACUAGGCUUGGUGUAAAGUCCUGGAACCCAUAGAUUUAACAGGAGCCCUCCACUGGCAUAUAUUAUGGGAAAUAGUUUGGGAAGUAGUGCUUUACAUGAUUUAUGUCAAGUAAUUAUUACAAUUGCUCUCUGAAGCCGCUACCAUGAUUAUCUCAAUUUUACAGAUGAAGAAACCAGCUCAGAGUAUAAGAUAUGGUAUACCUAAGUCAAAUAGUUAAUAAACAGGAGCGCUGCUGACUCUGGCACCCAGGACUGCUUGUCUUCAAAGCCAGGACUCCGACUACUGAAGGCCCAAGACUCUUGGCGGUCUGAAUCUGGGGUCCCAGCUGCCUUGCCAGGAUGGCAGAUAUCUCUCCACUAAUGCAGGUGUCUUAGAAGUACAAAAUGCUUGACUCCUAACUCACACUCCUCACCUGCCAAGCUCCUUGACACCCUUCAGGAUGCGGCUCAGACG